UGACCUCGGAUCAGGUAGGGAUACCCGCUGAACUUCAGCAUAUCCAAUAAGCGGAGGAA
rnacentral:rRNA from 1 species